CUUCUUUCCCUGGUGGUCCGGUGGCUUCUUCUUUCCCUGGUGGUCCAGUGGCUUCUUUCCCUGGUGGUCCGGGUGGCUUUUUCUUCUUUCCCUGUGGUCCAGUAUUUCUUCCCCUGCGGGUCCAGUGGCUUUCCCUGGUGGUCCAGGUUUCUUCCCUGGUGGUCCAGGCUUCUUUCCCUGGUGGUCCAGUGGCUCUUCCCCUUGGUGGGUCCAGUGGCUUCUUCCUGGUGGUCCAGUGGCUUCUUUCCCUGGUGGUCCAGUGGCUUCUUCUUUCCCUGGUGGUCCAGUGGCUUCUUUCCCUGGUGGUCCAGUGGCUUCUUUCCCUGGUGGUCCGGUGGCUUCUUUCCCUGGUGGUCCGGUGGCUUCUUUCCCUGGUGGUCCAGUGGCUUCUUUCCCUGGUGGUCCGGUGGCUUCUUUCCCUGGUGGUCCGGUGGCUUCUUCUUUCCCUGGUGGUCCAGUGGCUUCUUUCCCUGGUGGUCCGGUGGCUUCUUCUUUCCCUGGUGGUCCAGUGGCUUCUUUCCCUGGUGGUCCGGUGGCUUCUUUCCCUGGUGGUCCAGUGGCUUCUUUCCCUGGUGGUCCAGUGG